rnacentral:lncRNA from 1 species
CGGCCGUCACUUCCUGGCGUGCAGCGUGUCCUGGAAUCUGGUGCUGGUGUAGCGCAGGUGGAAACCCUUCUUGUUGAUGGUGUCGUCCGAGUGGAAGUGCAGCAGCACCGCAUCUCCGGCUGAGUACAGCGGCUCGGGGGGCCCGGAGCCGCAGUAGCGGCCGAUGGGCGGCGCGGUGCCGUCGGCGCCAUCGAAGAGCUCCAGGAAAUCGUAGCCGCAGUCCG